UUGCUUUUGCUGCACACAUAGUAAAACUAGAAAGAUACAGAGAAUAUUAGGAUGGCCCCAGAGCAAGAAUAACACUCAAAUUUGCGACAUCUACAACAAUGAA